rnacentral:lncRNA from 1 species
ACAGAUACUAUGCAUGGGAAAAAAGUUUCCAGUCAAAAGUUCAAAGGGUGAGGGAUGAUGAAUUGUUGUGGUUCAGGAAAGCUCAGUUACUCUCAGCGGUUUGACAAUUUGCAAUCAUUGAGUUCCAAUAAGAUAAAUUAGUUUUUCAGGCUACAACUUAUUGUGUCUAUAUUUCUUGUGGGCCUUUACAGUGCAACAGUUUCACACUGAACAGCAUCCCAGUUAUUGUAGCAGUUGUUUCAUUUGGGAUGUUUUCAUUCCAUGGUGGAGAUUUGACGCCUGCAAGAGCUUUUACCUCACUUUCUUUGUUUGCUGUUCUACGGUAUCCCCUGAAAAUGCUUCCUGACUUGAUUACUCAGGUUCAUUCCUUUUUUCAGCUUAUGGACAUAUUCAAAUUUUGGACACCAUUAUUUAUCAUGAAUUGAUGUGUCCAGAAAAUUUACCUUACACUGAAUGUAUUAGCACAAUUUUAUAAACGUACUCCACUUUCAUCUAGGGUUGGUCACCGGUUUGGUUCAGGGUUCCUUUCAUGGAAAACUUUUUGAUUUUCUGCAAAAGAAGAAAAUCAGACUGGACCAAAUCGAACUGGAACUGGUUGUGUCCAGUCCAGUCUGGCUUAAUGUUGCCUGUAAACCCGUUCUGGGCUGGUUAAAUAGUACAUUCGAGUUCAUUGUAAUAAUCUGAAUCUAGCUGAUAUCUUGUCGCUUGCAGGUUGUAAGUGCAAAUGUAUCGUUACAGCGCUUGGAAGAAUUGUUACUUGCUCAAGAGAGAAUUCUUCUACCAAAUCCGCCUCUUGAACCAAAACUUCCUGCCAUCUCAAUCAAGAGCGGAAAUUUUUCAUGGGAUUCUAAGGUCCUCUUUUCUACAUUUUGUGUUUCUUGUGGAGAGUGUUUUAUUUCCUCUAUAAAUCCACUUGUGCUGGUGCUGGUGUUUCACCUAUUUGGGGAUUUUCUCCAUCUCCUACCUGUAGAUUAACAACCAACAAGUAUGUAGAGGGGGGCGUAUGGCUUUACCUCUUAAUUUUUUACAAACAAUCCUGCUUCCAAGACAUCUACAUAGAUGUGGAGAGUUUGUUGUUCUGUUUAGACUAUUUAUAUCAUUUCAUCUUCCCCUUCCCCACCACUUGAUGGUUUAAAAGAGUUUCUUGAAAUAGAUAUAUUAUGUUCAGUUCUAGUCUCUGAAUUGCUCCUUUACAGGCUGCAAGGCUCACAUUAUCAAAUAUAAAUCUGGAUAUCCCCGUUGGCAGCCUAAUUGCAGUAGUAGGUGGCACUGGAGAAGGAAAAACAUCCUUAAUAUCAGCAAUGCUUGGGGAACUUCCUCCUCUGGGAGAUGCAACCGUUGUCAUUAGAGGGACUGUUGCUUAUGUUCCUCAAAUCUCUUGGAUUUUUAAUGCUACAGUGAGCUUAAGUGUCCAUAUUCUUUAAAUAUGUCUAUUACUAAAUUGGAUGCCAAAGUUCACCUUAACAGUUCUUCAUUAAUAAUUUUGAAAACACGCACAAGCGCACGGGAACUCAAUGAUUCUAAAAACAGUGAGUUUUAGCAUUUAAUUUUUGAGGGCAAACGUCUUACUCUGCAAGGCUUUCUGCAGAUACGUGAAAACAUAUUAUUUGGAUCGAGCUUUGAUGCAGAACGAUAUUGGAAAGCAAUAGGUGUCACUGCUUUACACCAUGACCUUGCAUUACUUCCUGUACGAGUUGGAAUUUUAUAUAAUUAUGUUCUUUGUUAUUGACUUUUACUACAUUUUUUAUCUUGUAAUAUUUGUGACAAUGCUUUACCUAUUGUAUUCCAGGGUCAUGACCUAACUGAGAUUGGUGAAAGGGGGGUUAAUAUUAGUGGAGGGCAAAAACAAAGGGUUUCCAUAGCUAGGGCUGUGUACUCCGACUCUGAUGUUUAUGUAUUUGAUGACCCACUAAGUGCUCUAGAUGCUCAAGUUGGCCAGCAGGUAUUUACUGAAUGUCAAAACUAUUCAUCCCUAUACAGUAGUACCAAAAAGAUAUUUACUUCAUGUAAAAAGUAGUGUAUAUUACUGAAGGUGAAAGAGAUACCUCCCAAUAACUGUUAGCCAUUGUUGUUGGCCCUAUAUUGUUGUUACCAAACAUGUUACGAUAUGGGGCUUUUUGUCUUACUAUAAGUAAAAAAGUACUUAUUCUAAAAAUAACUCCUGGCUUUAUGUCAAACCAACUCGUUUUCAACUUGUUAACCAAUAAAAAGUCAAGAAUUUCAAAACUUGUUUUCUGUUAAUAAGUGAACUUUUUAUUGUUACCUAAGCAUGUUCCUUAUCCUCGGAUAAAAGUCUUUUGUGUAUUUCUACUAUGGUUUUGAUAACUGUUGAAAACUCAAAUCUGUGCACUGUGUGAUAAUAACAGUGCACAGUUGUUUCUACUUCCGAGGUACACUUACAGCUAUUUGUAAUGUGUGUAUUAUUGUACAUUGGUAGGACAUACUUGAGGUAAAAAUCCUAACCAUUAACUUCCAGCAAUUUUCCUCCUGAAAAUCAUCUAAAGCCUACAUCUGCAAGUGUAUAGAUGUUUUUAUUCUUAAUAAUAUUUUGGUUUAUGCUCAACCGAGAACUGAAGUUUCUUUUAUAUUAUGUAGAAGAACUUUUGUCUGCUUCAUGUUGCCAAUUCCUCUAUAACUCGUUGUAAAUAUUUGGAUUCUUGUCUGAUUUUUCUUAUUAUAUAUGUCCAGGUUUUUAACAAUUGCAUUAAAGAAGAAUUGCAAGGAAAGACGAGUGCUCGUCACUAAUCAGCUACAUUUUCUUCCUCUAGUUGAUAGAAUAAUUCUGGUCUCAGAAGGUAUGGUAGAAGAGGAGGGCACCUUUGAGGAGCUUUCCAAAAAUGGUACAAUUUUUAAGGAGCUAAUGGAGAAAAUGGGGAAAAUGGAAGGCCAUAUACAUGAAAAUAGAGAUGGGAAGAAUCUUGCCAAUGGACAUUCACAGUUUCCUUCUAAUGAUGUGCUUUAUGAGGUGCCAAUUGAUGUGAACCCAGCACAUAAAAGGAAAGAAGGCAAAUGUGUUCUAAUCAAGCUGGAAGAAAGAGAGACAGGCAUUGUCAGCUGGAAUGUUUUGAUGAGGUCAUAACCAAAAUUAUUUCUCAAUUCUAAUAAAAUAGGUCAUGGAUAGUUCUCCGGAGAUAGAACACAAGAUUUAAUAUCCCAUUUCAAUUACUGUUGAACCUGUCCAAAAUUUGAUUCUAUGACAUUUUAGAGAGAAUCUAUUUUUUGAUAACAUGAUAUGUUAGAAUUCUUACGAUACUGCGAUGGAUUUAUGCUUUUUACUGCUUUGUUCAGGUACACAAGUGCUCUAGGAGGCUCAUGGGUUGUAAUGAUAUUGUUUUCAUGUUAUAUAUUGACUGAAGUUCUGCGAGUUUCAAGUAGCACAUGGUUGAGUAUUUGGACGAAAAAGAGCACUUCAAGUAGUAAUGGACCACAUUUUUAUAUUCUGGUUUAUGCAAUUUUGUCCUCAGGGCAGGUAUGCUUCCUGAUGAUUGUUGGCGUGAAAGCCCCACAUAAUUGUAAAUUGUUAUUUCAUUUAGAGUUUUUAUGUUAAUAUCCUCAGUAAACUGUGAAACCCUGUCUGUCUUUCGUUUAUUGGUUUUUCUGAAGGAUCUUAUUAAUCAUUUUACAUAUGGAGUUAUUACUGGAUGGAAGGUAAAGAUAGUAUUUGUACAUAUGGGUGAUGUGUUAUUAUGGCUGAACAUUAUGCUAUAAACUUUCUGCUGGCAUAUCAAGGAUGUUAAUCUUAGCUGUAGAAAGAUAUUCAGAGGGUCUGGAAAAUUUACUCUUCUUUAGACCAUACACGUACCUGUAUUCCUUAUUCUCUACAUACAUGUUUCUCCUGUUAAUAUUGAUUUUUUAAUCGUCUAUAAUAUUCUUUCAUGAUAUGUAUAUUUUUCAUUCAGCUCCAUCUCAUCUUAAGAGUCAUAUAUUCAGGUGAUAGUGAUGUUGGUGAACUCCUAUUGGUUGAUCACAUCAAGCCUUGGUGCAGCUAAAGGACUUCACGAUUCAAUGCUACAUUCCAUACUCAAAGCUCCAAUGGUAUUUUUCCAUACCAAUCCAACUGGACGGAUCAUCAAUAGAUUUUCCAAGGAUAUUGGUGAUGUUGAUCGCAAUGUUGCAAACUUUGUUAAUGCGUUUCUAAGCCAAAUGUGGCAGCUGCUUUCUACUUUUGUGCUCAUAGGUUAUGUGAGCCCCAUAUCUCUCUGGGGAAUAAUGCCCCUACUUAUCUUACUUAAAGCAGUCUAUCUAUAUUAUCAGGUUCUUCUUCUUCUUCUUCUUCUUCUUCUUCUUCUUCUUCUUCUUCUUCUUCUCUCUCUCUCUCUC